AUGUCUUCUUCAAGCUCCCGCGCCACCUCGCCGAUGCAGAGCCGGGCGCGUGUGGAGAUGCCUGUCUUCAUCUGUCCGCGGUGCCGGGCGGGCGUUGAUCGGAGGGUUUCUCACCCACCGAAGAACCAGAAUCGUCCGUUCUACGUGUGCAGCGAGAAUGGGGUGAAAUGUUUCUUUCUUUGAGUCGAUGCUCUGGCCAAGACACUGAUGAAUGAACUGCAAAAAGAGCAUGAAGAAUGGUUGCACAUGCUGCCACGAACGGCAGUGGCCGCAACACGAGCUCCGGAAGAAGAGAUAGAGGGUGAAGCACGCACUGACAGAGAGCUAUCUGUUGAGCUUAGGAUGUUGAAGAAGAAGGUUAGGAAUCUUGAAGAUCAAGCACAAAUACCAAUACCCAUUUGCAAUUAUUUUUGGGCAUUUGUAGGUAUGGUAAUCGCACUGGGUGUAAUGUUGAAAUUGUAUGGAAAGGCAUGA
rnacentral:rRNA from 1 species